rnacentral:rRNA from 1 species
UUUAAAGAGAGUUUGAUCCUGGCUCAGGACGAACGCUGGCGGCGUGCCUAAUACAUGCAAGUCGAACGAACGGAGGAAGAGCUUGCUCUUCCAAAGUUAGUGGCGGACGGGUGAGUAACACGUGGGCAACCUGCCUGUAAGUUGGGGAUAACUCCGGGAAACCGGGGCUAAUACCGAAUGAUAGAGUGUGGCGCAUGCCACGCUUUUGAAAGAUGGUUUCGGCUAUCGCUUACAGAUGGGCCCGCGGUGCAUUAGCUAGUUGGUAGGGUAAUGGCCUACCAAGGCAACGAU